rnacentral:tRNA from 1 species
GCUCCCAUCGUCUAGAGGCCUAGGACACCGCCCUUUCAAGGCGGCGACAGGGGUUCGAAUCCCCUUGGGAGCA